rnacentral:tRNA from 1 species
GGGCCCAUAGCUCAGUUGGUUAGAGCAGAGAACUCAUAAUUCUUUGGUCGCUGGUUCGAGUCCAGCUGGGCCCACCA